ACAGGGGUAGCUCCAGGUACAACGCGCUGACGAGAAGAAUUGACGUGCUUAUUGGCACUUCCACUGCUCAUUACAUCGAUCUCUUCACGGCGAUAAGAGAAGGUAGAGUUCUGACCCCUAGCACCUGGUGGACGAUAAGCCCCAGCUGGCUUAACUGAAGGUUUUGCAGCCAACUUACUAGCCGAUGCAUGCGGUGUAGGCGGAGAAGGUAAGGAAGCAGAUGUAAGAGCAUUUUGCAACAAGGUAGGAUUU